GUGCCUGUGGUGAAAGGGUUAUCAUUGCUGCCUUCCAAGCAGCAGGUCCUGGUUCGAGUCCUGGCAGGCACA
rnacentral:tRNA from 1 species